AAUACUCUUCGUUUUCUUGCUGUGUGCUCUGCCAGUUUCUUUUCAUGUUUAUUGUUUGUUUGCUCUUCAAUUUGCUUCAGUAUUCUCUCGUUAUCAUGUUACAGCUUUAGCUUUUUUAUAAAUCACUUUCGUAUAAUUAUAAAUUUUUUAGAAUUCGACGAGUAACACUACGAUUGUGUUUUGUACUGGUUUGCCUCUCAUGGAUUGGGUUUUAGGAAAAAGGGAAUCUCUGUGUGUAUAUCAAUUGGGUGUACGCGGCACACCCGUCUUUUCGGUGGUUUCCCGAAAAAGAGUUGCAAAUCGAGGCUGUGGCUGAGGCUGACCAAGAAGUUGCCGAGUUGCGGGGGACGCUGAAGCGGCUGCAGAAUGCUACUCGCCGGGAACCAGGUAUGGUUUCUCAUAUCAUGAUUUGUUUGCCCUUACCUAUUUCAUUAUUACAAAAAUGCCAUGCUCUGUAACCCCCAGUAAAUCAUUGAUAGGGAAAAGAAUCGAUAUACACACUGAUAAUUGAAUUGAAUCAGAGACAAACAGGAAUAUAUUGUUUGUUUGAUUACAAAUCUUGAGUUUGAGGGGGUGAAGGAUUCAAGACAUAUUCAGGUUCAAGGUUUAUCAAUUUCUCAAGGGGUUUGAUAAACCCUGAACAUGGGGUUUAUCAAAUUCUUCCGUCAUUAGUCUGCAAUACACCAAAGUAAAACCAGGUGGCUGAGGGUGCCAGAACGGCCUGUGCUUCGAAUUGAUAAUUAAAAUUUUAAGCGAGAAUUUUAGCCUUCAGUACUUCAGAUUCACUCGUAAGCAAAUGAGAAUCUUUUGUUCAUCAUCGCACAGCCAAACCCAAAAGGGAGCGUCAUGGAGAGAUCAAGUGAUUAGGUUCCGACAUAAAUAAGUUUUGUUCAGCUGUUGUUCAAUUUGGGUUCUGCCAUGUUCUUUGGUUUUUGCGAAGUAGAGUCAGUUUCCGUAUUCUAUUACGAAUAGAAGAAACAACCUGAAGGGGUGAGACAAAUCCUAUAGAGGCAGUCCUCAAGCUGUUCAGGCGGUUCUUUUAUGUGCUCAGCAUUUGGGAUCACGUCAUGCUAGGGCAGGGCAAUUGAUGACCAAAGAUCGGGAAGAAUACAUCUGAUUCAGUUAACAAACACCAAACUAUGUUGAUCUUGCUGCGAGUCAAAUAUGUCGGAAGCCAUUCAGAGAGCAAAUGGGCAGGGUUUACCGAAGCCAGGGGAGACUAUCCAUUUAGCCACCACAAGUUAACCUUUCAAUAUUAUGAAGCAUCAGAGCUCAGGAUCGGAAACUGUAAAUGUUGGUCCUUAAGGCCAUUUUGAAAUUAUGAAGCCCUAACCCAACUGAAUUAGCUCUACUGUUGACUUGGAAGAAAUGAUUAUGCUCUUCUUAAAGUUUCUCCAAGUGUAGUUACUUUGACUGGUAGCAGUUACCCUUGCUACAUCCAAGCAUAUCAUUUGACAGAUUCUAAUGGCGGAAGGAUCACUCUGCACCCUAAGGCAAGUGGGUCAAUGAAUUUGGAUAUGACAUCUCCAAAGAAGCUCACUCGAAAAUUGUUUCUAAAACAGAUGGUUGUAGACUUUUUUACAAGCGAAAGAAGGAUACUGUACCAUGUCCAAUAUAUACUGAGAAGGAGAUUAAGGGAUAUAAGGAGUGGAGAACUGAAGGUUCUCAAAUUCUUCUGACGGAUUCAGAAAUUUUUUCGAAUCAGAUUAAGGGCUUUUCGUGUUUAUAGUUUCAUACAGUUGUUGGGUAGAUGAUGCGUGAUUUAGUUUGGGCAGAAGCCAAGUUGUAUCCUUCUAAUGUAAAGUUUAGGUGAUACUAUUUGUUAGUGAUGGUUUUAAGUUUAACUUUGUAAAAGAAUAAAAACUAUCAAUAAGUUAUUUAUAAUAUUCAUUUACACAAAUGUUGACUGGGAUUAUUUAUA